rnacentral:tRNA from 1 species
CCUUCGAUAGCUCAGUUGGUAGAGCGGUGGACUGUAGAGGGGGCCGUCAGAUAUCCAUAGGUCGCUGGUUCAAAUCCGGCUCGAAGGA